rnacentral:rRNA from 1 species
UUAGUGGCGGACGGGUGAGUAACGCGUGGAAAACCUGCCGUAUACUGGGGGAUAACACUUAGAAAUAGGUGCUAAUACCGCAUAAGCGCACAGCUUCGCAUGAAGUGGUGUGAAAAACUCCGGUGGUAUACGAUGGUUCCGCGUCUGAUUAGCUUGUUGGCGGGGUAGGGGCCCACCAAGGCGACGAUCAGUAGCCGGCCUGAGAGGGUGGACGGCCACAUUGGGACUGAGACACGGCCCAAACUCCUACGGGAGGCAGCAG